rfam:Lactobacillus oligofermentans DSM 15707 = LMG 22743 strain DSM 15707 NODE_92, whole genome shotgun sequence.
GUUCGUCUUCAGGGCAGGGUGUAAUUCCCGACCGGCGGUGAUAGCCCGCGACCUGCAUUUUUUGCAGUUGAACUCGGUGGAAUUCCGGGUGCCGACAGUAGAGUCUGGUAUAAAGAAGAUUUUC